GUGGGGAAUAUUGGACAAUGGGCGCAAGCCUGAUCCAGCCAUGCCGCGUGAGUGAUGAAGGCCCUAGGGUUGUAAAGCUCUUUCACCGGUGAAGAUAAUGACGGUAACCGGAGAAGAAGCCCCGGCUAACUUCGUGCCAGCAGCCGCGGUAAUACGAAGGGGGCUAGCGUUGUUCGGAAUUACUGGGCGUAAAGCGCACGUAGGCGGACAUUUAAGUCAGGGGUGAAAUCCCAGAGCUCAACUCUGGAACUGCCUUUGAUACUGGGUGUCUUGAGUAUGGAAGAGGUAAGUGGAAUUCCGAGUGUAGAGGUGAAAUUCGUAGAUAUUCGGAGGAACACCAGUGGCGAAGGCGGCUCACUGGCUCGAUACUGACGCUGAGGUGCGAAAGCGUGGGGAGCAAACAGGAUUAGAAACCCCGGUAGUCC
rnacentral:rRNA from 1 species